AGCAGCCGCGGUAAUUCCAGCUCCAAUAGCGUAUAUUAAAGUUGUUGCAGUUAAAAAGCUCGUAGUUGAAUUUCGGGAUCAAAUUGUUGGUCGUGCCUCGGUACGCACUGGUAUUAUUGGUUCCUACCUUCUGAAGAACCGCGAUGUCAUUAAUUUGGUGUCGUGGGGAAUCAGGACUGUUACUUUGAAAAAAUUAGAGUGUUUAAAGCAGGCUUACGCUUGAAUACAUUAGCAUGGAAUAAUGAAAUAGGACGUUUGAUUCUAUUUUGUUGGUUUCUAGGAUUGACGUAAUGAUUAAUAGGGAUAGUUGGGGGCAUUAGUAUUCAAUUGUCAGAGGUGAAAUUCUUGGAUUUAUUGAAGACUAACUACUGCGAAAGCAUUUGCCAAGGAUGUUUUCAUUAAUCAAGAACGAAAGUUAGGGGAUCGAAGACGAUCAGAUACCGUCGUAGUCUUAACCAUAAACUAUGCCGACUAGGGAUCGGAUGAUGUCAAUUUUUUCAAUGACUCAUUCGGCGCCUUA
rnacentral:misc_RNA from 1 species